GACGAAGGAUUCAAGCGUUGUCCGGAUUUACUGGGUUUAAAGGGUGCGUAGGCGGACAUAUAAGUCAGUGGUGAAAUCCCGCAGCUCAACUGCGGAACUGCCAUUGAAACUGCAUUUCUUGAAUACGGUUGAGGUAGAUGGAAUGUAACAUGUAGCAGUGAAAUGCUUAGAUAUGUUACAGAACUCCGAUUGCGAAGGCAGUCUACUAAGCCGUUAUUGACGCUGAGGCACGAAAGCGUGGGGAGCGAACAGG
rnacentral:rRNA from 1 species